rnacentral:tRNA from 1 species
CCUUCGAUAGCUCAGUUGGUAGAGCGGAGGACUGUAGUGGAAAUCGCUGGGAAUCCUUAGGUCACUGGUUUGAAUCCGGCUCGAAGGA